UACAUGUGGGGCAAGCGUUGUUCGGAAUUAUUGGGCGUAAAGGGCGCGUAGGCGGUGCGGUAAGUCACCUGUGAAACCUCUAGGCUCAACCUAGAGCCUGCAGGCGAAACUGCCGUGCUUGAGGGUGGGAGAGGUGCGUGGAAUUCCCGGUGUAGCGGUGAAAUGCGCAGAUAUCGGGAAGAACACCCGUGGCGAAGGCGGUUCUCUGGGACGGUACUGACGCUGAGACGCGAAAGCGUGGGGAGCGAACAGG
rnacentral:rRNA from 1 species